GAUGAAGAACGCAGCGAAAUGCGAUAAGUAGUGUGAAUUGCAGAAUUCAGUGAAUCAUCGAAUCUUUGAACGCACAUUGCGGCCAUAGGUAUUCCUUUGGCCAUGCCUGUUCGAGCGUCAUUUACACCCUCAAGCCUAGCUUGGUGUUGGGCGUCUGUCCCGCCGUUCUCGCGCGCGGACUCGCCUCAAAGUCAUUGGCGGCGGUCGUGCCGGCCCCCUCGCGCAGCACAUUUGCGCUUCUCGGAGGCCCGGCGGAUCCGCGCUCCAACAAGACCUUUCACGACUUGACCUCGGAUCAGGUAGGGAUACCCGCUGAACUUAAGCAUAUCAAUAAGCGGAGGA
rnacentral:misc_RNA from 1 species